GGGCCCGUAGCUCAGGAUGGCAGAGCGCCCGGCUCAUAACCGGGCGGUCGUGGGUUCAAGUCCCACCGGGCCCA
rnacentral:tRNA from 2 species